rnacentral:lncRNA from 1 species
AUAGAGAGAGAGAGAGAGAGAGAGAGAGAGAGAGAGAAGCUGCCCAUUCGAGUUUUCCCCUUAGUGAACUGGCGUUCCAAGAAUUUUGGGUGCUCGCCGGAUUCUGGAAAAUGCUCGCCGGUGGCGACCAGUCUUGCCGGAAAAGAAGAGUGACUGGCCAGCAAUCUUGGAAAACUUCAGUGACCUUACCGCAACUCUGGGAAAUUUUGGUGACCAUACAUCAAAGUUGAGUGAACUGAAUGCAAUUCAGGUUAAAUUCAGUGACUUUUUGUAACUUGGGAAAAGUUGAGUGACUGAUCUGUAAUCGGUGAAUUGUUC